UGUAGGAAGAUAGUGGCUGAUAAAAUCCAAGAGAUAACCUCCCUCCUCUUCUUUUCCAGGACCAGAAUGUUGAAAGCUCUCUUGAUGGAAGAAUUAAUAGGCUCUAGCUGCUGACUCAUGAAACCCCUAAAGAAGAUCAAGUCAUCAUUAUUUAUUUCCUUCAGAUGAGCUACGAAGAAGCCAAUUCAGAGAUCUCAACCACAGCCAAGAAGGAUAACUUGAUUUUUGCAUCACCAUCUUCCUUUCUGCAAAGUGAGUAUUAUUGCAGUUUGAGAGCAGAGAACAUUUUUUUUUCUAAACUGUGUUUUAUAGGACAUUACUGAUCUUUGAGAUGUUAAUGGGACCCUGUGAACAACAAUUUUGGAAAUUCUAGGUAAUUAGGUUUUCUCUUUGCAAGACUUCU
rnacentral:lncRNA from 1 species